GUGAACGUUACCUAAACCGUUGCUUCGGCGGGCGGCCCGGGUCCUUCCCGGCGCCCCUCGGCCCUCGCGGGCGCCCGCCGGAGGUAAACCAAACUAUUGCAUUGUAUGGCCUCUCUGAGUCUUCUGUACUGAAUAAGUCAAAACUUUCAACAACGGAUCUCUUGGUUCUGGCAUCGAUGAAGAACGCAGCGAAAUGCGAUAAGUAAUGUGAAUUGCAGAAUUCAGUGAAUCAUCGAAUCUUUGAACGCACAUUGCGCCCGCCAGUAUUCUGGCGGGCAUGCCUGUUCGAGCGUCAUUUCAACCAUCAAGCCCCGGGCUUGUGUUGGGGACCUGCGGCUGCCGCAGGCCCUGAAAUGCAGUGGCGGGCUCGCUGUCACUCCGAGCGUAGUAGUUACAUCUCGCUCUGGGCGUGCUGCGGGUUCCGGCCGUUAAAAGCCUUAUUUACCCAAGGUUGACCUCGGAUCAGGUAGGAAGACCCGCUGAACUUAA
rnacentral:rRNA from 1 species